rnacentral:rRNA from 1 species
CCUACGGGUGGCAGCAGUGGGGAAUAUUGCGCAAUGGGCGAAAGCCUGACGCAGCGACGCCGCGUGAGGGAUGAAUGUCUUCGGAUCGUAAACCUCUGUCAGCAGGGAAGAACGGUCACUGUGCUAAUCAGUAGUGAAUUGACGGUACCUACAAAGGAAGCCCCGGCUAACUCCGUGCCCGCAGCCGCGGUAAGACGGAGGGGGCGAGCGUUAAUCGGAUUGACUGGGCGUAAAGGGAUCGUAGGCGGGAUGUCAAGUCAAGGGUGAAAUCCCCGCGCUCAACGGUGGAACUGCCUUUGAAACUGGCAAACUGGAGUGCGGGAGAGGAUAGGGGAAUUCGAGGUGUAGCAGUGAAAUCCGUAGAUAUCUGGAGGAACAUCAGUGGCGAAGGCGACUAUCUGGCACAUAACUGACGCUGAGGAGCGAAAGCGUGGGUAGCAAACAGGAUUAGAUACCCGAGUAGUC